AUGGCCGAUUUGACAGGGAGGAGCAUGGAACCUGCUGUAUGGCCACCCUGCGACUUUCAUCUGGCCGAUUGGUCCAUGGAACCCGCGGGAGCUGCGUGGGUUGCUGACGAGUUUGUUUGGUCCACUGAAAUGCUGGGCACCUGCUUCCAGACGUAUGUUCCUAGCAGCCCUAGCGGAGGGCAGCUGCAGCAGGUUCAGUAUGCGGCAGCCACACAGAAGUCACCUUGUGAGGAAGAAGCACAUCCACAAAACAAGAUGGAGAUGGAGAUCCGCGACCCGAUGCAAGUGUUCGAGAAAACAGCACACGAGUUCGAGGUCGACAUCGACAUGUUCGACAGGAAGAUGCAUAGGUACCCCGGGCUCAUUCGACGUCUCAGCGACGGCAACAAAAACUACACCACUCCGGUGACGGUGGCCAUCGGACCCUACUACCACGGCAAAGACCACCUCAAGCCGGCGGAGAAGGUGAAGUAUGUGGCUGCCUACCACUGCAUCAUGGAGUCGGGCCACUCUGUCCAGGAGAUGUACGACGCAGUCGUCUCAGUCGCAGGCGAGGCCCGGGGGCUCUAUGACAAGGACGUGAUGGCAGGUAUCAGCGACAACGACUUCGAGCCUAUGAUGUUCUAUGAUGCCUGCUUCUUGGUGCAGUUCAUGCUUAAACUUACAGGCUCCAACUUGAAUUCGUAUUUAUCCCGCUAUUUCAAGGGCAAUAUGAACGACAUCUUCCGUGACAUCCUCCUGCUUGAGAACCAGCUCCCCUGGCGGGUGGUCGAGACCGUCAUGUGGUUCAGGCAGGUGUCGUUGCCGAAGCUCGUUAAUUCGUUGAAAAACGGCCUGCAAGACCGCAAGGUCCGCGGGAGGAAGCCUUUGGACUGGGAAGAGAAGUACAAACCGCCACAUCUCCUCGGUCUUGUCCGGUUCUACAUUGUGGGAAGGAGCAAACCCAAACCGAACCGGCAGCCGCUACCCCGCCUCGAGUCGGUUUCGAUUUCUGUAGGUGCCAUGGAGCUUGCAGAAAGCGGCAUCAUGCUGACGGCCAACAAGACAAGUGACCUCGUAGACAUGGGCAUCGACACGAAAGGGCCCUUCUGCGCGGAGCUCUCUCUGGCGCCACUGUCCCUGAACGAUUUACGCUCAGUCUGGCUAGUCAACAUGGCAGCCUUCGAGCUGUCCACGACCCUAGAAUUUCAAGGGCGUGAUGCUGAAGAUGAAGCCUCCGCUGUCUGCUCCUACCUCCUCCUCCUAGCCAUGUUCGUGGACAAGGAGGAGGACGUGCACCAGCUGCGAACACAGAGUGUUCUGCAAGGAGGAGGAGGGCUUACCAACAAGGAGGCGCUCUCCUUCUUCACCAGCCUUCAGGACCUGCCUCUCGGGAGCCGCUAUGUCCGCACCAUGAGAGAGAUUGAGAAUUACAGGAACAAGCAGAGGCGGAAGCGGACACGGUGCCACGCCUUUUUUCACAAGAACUGGAGAAUCAUGGCCACGGUCUUCUCCGCCGUUGCUGCACUCAUCACUAUCUUGAGCACGCUUGCGUCUCUCAAGAAACAAUAG
rnacentral:rRNA from 1 species